rnacentral:rRNA from 1 species
CUCGUAGGCGGUUCGUCGCGUCCGGUGCGAAAGUCCAUCGCUUAACGGUGGAUCUGCGCCGGGUACGGGCGGGCUGGAGUGCGGUAGGGGAGACUGGAAUUCCCGGUGUAACGGUGGAAUGUGUAGAUAUCGGGAAGAACACCAAUGGCGAAGGCAGGUCUCUGGGCCGUUACUGACGCUGAGGAGCGAAAGCGUGGGGAGCGAACA